CACCUAAAUGUUAGGUCUUUGAUCAAUAAAGUUGCAUAAAUCUUCAAUACAAUUCGUUACCCAAAAUUAGCAUAAAAGGGUUGGUUCUAAUACUAGUUUAACUCAAAAUUUACACAAAAGCAACACCAAAUAUAAGAGGUACAACUGUACAAGGGGCAAUUUGGUAAAUUUCGAAUGUACCCUUAAAAGGUAAGGCACCUGCCCUUAAGAUCCACCUCAGCUCCUCCCUCGGCAAAGAGCAUCCUUUUUUUUUUUUUUUUUUUUUUUUUUCUUGUAAUUUUUUAAAUUUUAAGCAGAAAAGGCGUAAAAAAUGACGCACUUCCCAGUUCCCACCUUCAAGAAUCAAGAUUCAUUCUUUGGUUAUUCCAAUUUCCCUCCUAUAAAUAUUCAUAAUCAAGCUAAGGCUCUUUUCUCAAUUCAUUCAUUUAGUUAUAUUUAGCAUUAUAAAUUUAUAAUUAUUGACUUUAUUAUUUAUAAGCCUUGAUCUAUUAAAUUUUAUAUACUUUAAUCUUCUGCAAUAAUUUGUUGCACUUUAUCUGUUUAACCCCUUAUAAUGUUUAACAAUUUUGAUUAUGAGAUCUGGGUUUAUUAAGAUUUUUUUUGUUGAUCAAUUAAUUACUUUAAUUUUGCAUUGGGUUUAACCUCUUUUUUUUUUUUUUUUUUUUUUUUUUUUUUUUUUUUUUUAAUUUAAUAAUAAUUUCUGUAUUUAUUUACUGGAUUAGUUUUUUAAAAAUCUGUGAUAAAAUUGAGUUAAGGGCACUGGAGGCAGCGGUUCAUCGAUCUGUUCCUGAACUGGGUAUUCUUGUACAUUCAUUGCAGCAAUCGAUCGAUAAACCUCUGCAUCCAGCGCUUUAUAACUGUUUUAAUUAAUCUAAGAUAGCAUUUUUUUGGUGGGUUUUUGAUUAAUUAGGAAUUUAUUUCUGUAUUUCACACAAAACAAUUUAUGUUAUGAUGCUGUGAAUAGUAUAAUAUUAUUCAAUGAUGAUCAUAUUAUCUUUGAUUAGUUGAUAAUAUCUUGUUAGUAUUGGCUGUUUUAGGACCAUUUGGUAUUCAAGUUGUUGGCUGUCUAGAGUUAUUGGAUUUGGUUUGAGUUUGUUAAUAUCUUGAUUUUGGAGUAGCCUUGACAAGAAGUAUUACCUUGUAUUGGAUCCAAUCGUUUCGUUUCCGGGUUUUGGUAGGUUUAGAUGUAUAUGUCCUUACCUUGAAUCAGUUGAUGCUUGUAAAGAAGUAUGUGAGAGACCAUUGCAGUACAGCUGUACAGAUAGCUAUGAGAUAUAUGGUUGAGGAGGUGCGGCCGUGUGGGGAGGAAGGCUCAUGAUAUGUAUAUGAGAUAAAUUAUGAAGUAGAUGCUUAUAUUUUAUCAUGUUGGAGCUUCUAAGGUCUUUUUUUCAUGGUUUUCCUGCUACUUGGCGGCUGGUCUAGGGAAUGUAUGGUUUGGACCUGUACAAUUGGUUGUCUUGGUUCUAUCUUGUAUGAUUUUGAUCUGUUUUUGUGCUCAUAUUUGAGCCAAGGUCCUUGAUGAUUUGAUGAUAUUCAUCAAUUUCUUUUAGCUUACUCUACGAACUUUAUGCCAUUACCAUAUACUAUAGUUUAUCAAACUAUGAGCAUGGCAAAAUAAGGCUAUAAUCAGGAAUCUGUACAAUAUAAACAUCUAGUUUUUCAUGAAUUGGGCCAGGUCUGGUUUUGGUGGGCAGGCUAGGCUAUCUGUACCGUAUCUGUUUUAAGAUUCGCUCUUGAAUGAAGUUUUGAAAGCUAGUUGAAGUCUCCUUAUUUUAUUUCAUAUUUUCAUGUGGUUGAUUCUUGGCUAAUAUUUAAUUAUGUUGGACCACUCUGAUUGUUUGUUGUAUAUUACGGAGUACUUUGAACUUCUUUUUGAAUUUGGGUUUCCAUAGUGAAUCAAGCCUUGUCUUAAUACACAGAUUUAUCCAGUCAUGUGAGUUUCAGUCUGUUAUUAUCUGUGUUAUUACUAGAUCAAUUGAGAAUUGAAAAUAGGGGAAUAGGUCAAUGGCAAAGAGUUGUUAUAUGUUGUUUUUCGAGUUGUGCGAUUGUAACUAACUGGAAAAUCUAAAAGAUGAUGAGAAGAGAAAUGGUUGAACUUCAGAUGAUGCAUCCUGUAGUCAUAUUGUGUUGUUUUUUUCUUGUUCAUGACUCUGUAGGAUUGAAUAUUUUUCGCACUGCUCACAUUCUUGAAUUGAUUUAGAUAUAGAAUUAGUUGAGUUAGUGCACUAUGUGCAGUGAUUGAUUUAAGGCAUUUGGGAAACAGAGAGCAAAGAGGAUUUUAUCUAGUAUUGUUGAUUUAGAAUUAGAAUCUACAGAUUAUAUACUGGUAGAAGGUGCACUUGGGAGUAGCAAGAACGGUGCUUCUGGUUUGGCAUGUGCGCAGCAUGCACAUAUGGAGAGGCGUUCGUCAUGCACUGGCGGCACUGCACACAAGGCACACCCCUCCACACACCUGAACGGAAUCACAAUUUUUGGUUGUUCAGGUGCUGCAAUCAGCUUCAAGAGGAAGUCUGAGAAGUUUGGGAACUUACAGUAUAGUGAAAACUACAGUUUGUCCAGAGAGAAUCUUGUUGCUAUCAUUUGUGUAGACUUGGGUCAUAUUUAUAACAAAACUAGUAUCUAUUAAUGGCAAUCUUAUAAUAUGAGAUUCUGUGAUCUUUCCUGUAUAAUUCUUUCCCCUCAUUCUAAGAAUUGGAAAACCCUGUUCCUUGGACCUUUUUGAAA